AUCUUUCUGUAGUUCGUGAGCAUGAUGACUGGGCGUUCACGCCAUUGUGGGACCCGUGCCUCCCCCACACCUUGUUACGACCUUACUACGUGACCCGUUGGCG